GGGCACAUGGUGUAGUUGGUUAUCACAUCCGCUUAGCAUUUCACAGCCCGUGAAUUGGUUGCGGGGGGUGUCCGGUUCAAUUCCGGAUGUGUCCA